CCUACGGGAGGCAGCAGUGAGGAAUAUUGGUCAAUGGACGGAAGUCUGAACCAGCCAUGCCGCGUGCAGGAAGACGGCUCUAUGAGUUGUAAACUUCUUUUGUACAAGGGUAAACCUGAACACGUGUAUUUAGCUGAAUGUACUGUACGAAUAAGGAUCGGCUAACUCCGUGCCAGCAGCCGCGGUAAUACGGAGGAUCCAAGCGUUAUCCGGAUUUAUUGGGUUUAAAGGGUGCGUAGAUGGAUUGAUAAGUUAGUGGUGAAAUGUCCGGGCUUAACCCGGGAACUGCCUCUAAUACUGGUGAUCUAGAGAGUAGAUGCGGUAGGCGGAAUGUAUGGUGUAGCGGUGAAAUGCUUAGAGAUCAUACAGAACACCGAUUGCGAAGGCAGCUUACCAAUCUAUAUCUGACAUUGAGGCACGAAAGCGUGGGGAGCAAACAGGAUUAGAUACCCUAGUAGUC
rnacentral:rRNA from 1 species